UACGAAGGAUUCGAGCGUUAUCCGGAUUUAUUGGGUUUAAAGGGUGCGUAGGUGGAUUAAUAAGUCAGUGGUGAAAGUCCGGAGCUCAACUCCGGAACUGCCAUUGAUACUGUUAGUCUUGAGUACAGUUGAGGUGGGCGGAAUGUGUCAUGUAGCGGUGAAAUGCUUAGAUAUGACACAGAACACCGAUUGCGAAGGCAGCUCACUAAGCUGUAACUGACACUGAGGCACGAAAGUGUGGGUAGCAAACAGG
rnacentral:rRNA from 1 species